rnacentral:lncRNA from 1 species
AAGUUAAAUAUUGCUCUAUGUUGCAAAAGCCGCACAAAUUUUUGUUUUAAACCCUAUUCAUGUAUCAUGCAUAUUAAUUACCACUUUGAUGUUGUAUAAUCUGUCCAAAUCUUUUGAGAGCCUUUUCAAAACAGAAACGAAACUUUGUACUUUAGAAGUAACCUUUGUGUGCAUCAUCUUGGCAUAUGCAUCAUGGCAUGGUUUUUGUAUUGAAUGUUGUGUUUAUUGUGUGUGUUUUUUUUAUUUUAGAUUGUGUGAAGUGUAUUUCUUGUUGUUGCGAAGAGUGCGAGAACUACCACAACCUUGGAUAAGGCAAGUUCACUUUGAUCAUAUCCCAUUAUUAUUGUUGUUUUAAAAUACUUAUGCAUUAGUGUUGUUGGUAGAGAUGCAUUGAUAAGACUAUUACUCGUACCUCUAUGCUAGCUAUAAAUCCCAGGUAGUAUAGUUUACCCUCGCCAUUACCUUGCCACCAAAUUGCCAUCGUUUUUAGUUUAAUGCUACGCUAUGGUAGUAUCGUGGGGGGAAUAACUACAUUAUGAUAUUGUUAUGCCUUUGGCUAUAUGAAAUGUUUUUGUUAGAUGUAAGGCAAAACAACUAAUUCAAUGAACCAUCCUGGGUGGGCUGCUUUGAGGAUUUUGAGAAUUAGCGGCGUCAGGUCCAUUUCUAUGGGUCCCUCUGAGUCGAGUUCCUGUGGAUUCAGGAAUGGAUCGUCCAUGGACGUCUCUCCUGU